UACGUAGGGUGCGAGCGUUAAUCGGAAUUACUGGGCGUAAAGCGUGCGCAGGCGGUUUUGUAAGCCAGAUGUGAAAGCCCCGGGCUUAACCUGGGAAUGGCAUUUGGGACUGCAAGGCUGGAGUUUGGCAGAGGAGACUGGAAUUCCUGGUGUAGCAGUGAAAUGCGUAGAGAUCAUGAGGAAGACCAGUGGCGAAGGCGGGUCUCUGGACAGUUCCUGACACUGAGGCACGAAGGCCAGGGGAGCAAACGGG
rnacentral:rRNA from 1 species